UCCAGCAUGGAUACCCCAGGAGGUCACUCUCCCCAGGCUCUAAGUGGAGUACAGGAGCACAGGGCCCUGCCCUGUGAUGUGCAGUCCCUUCCCACAGUGUUGGAGGUGAAGCCGGGCAUUGUAUCUGCACCUGCAUAUUCCUACAGCUUCUCUGAGUCCUAUGGGCAAUGACUGAGAAGACAAACCAUUCAGGAAACA
rnacentral:snoRNA from 1 species